AUACGGAGGGGGCUAGCGUUGUUCGGAAUUACUGGGCGUAAAGCGUCCGCAGGCGGAUAAUUAAGUUAGAGGUGAAAUCCCAGGGCUCAACCCUGGAACUGCCUUUAAAACUGGUUGUCUAGAGUUAUGGAGAGGUAAGUGGAAUUCCUAGUGUAGAGGUGAAAUUCGUAGAUAUUAGGAGGAACACCAGAGGCGAAGGCGGCUAACUGGACAUAUACUGACGCUGAGGGACGAAAGUGUGGGGAGCGAACGGGAUUAGAAACCCUAGUAGUCC
rnacentral:rRNA from 1 species